rnacentral:rRNA from 1 species
UACGUAGGGGGCUAGCGUUGUCCGGAAUCAUUGGGCGUAAAGAGCGUGUAGGCGGCCCGGUAAGUCCGCUGUGAAAGUCGGGGGCUCAACCCUCGAAUGCCGGUGGAUACUGUCGGGCUAGAGUGCGGAAGAGGCGAGUGGAAUUCCCGGUGUAGCGGUGAAAUGCGCAGAUAUCAGGAGGAACACCGGUGGCGAAGGCGGCGUUCUGGACUGCAACUGACACUGAGGAACGAAAGCCAGGGGAGCGAACGGG